rnacentral:rRNA from 1 species
GCUUGUCUCAAAGAUUAAGCCAUGCAUGUCUAAGUAUAAACUAUUUUAUACUGUGAAACUGCGAAUGGCUCAUUAAAUCAGUUAUAGUUUAUUUGAUGGUACCUUACUACUCGGAUAACCGUAGUAAUUCUAGAGCUAAUACAUGCGUAAAGUCCCGACUCUCGCGGGGAGGGAUGUAUUUAUUAGAUAAAAAACCAAUGCGGGCUCUGUCCGGUUUUGUGGUGAAUCAUAGUAACUUUUCGAAUGGCAUGACUUCACGUCGGCCAUAUUUCAUUCAAAUUUCUGCCCUAUCAGCUUUCGACGGUAGUGUAGUGGACUACCGUGGCGUUAACGGGUAACGGAGAAUUAGGGUUCGAUUCCGGAGAGGGAGCCUGAGAAACGGCUACCACAUCCAAGGAAGGCAGCAGG